UGCGANUGGGCGAAGCCUGACGCAGCGACGCCGCGUGGGGGAUGAAGCUUCUCGGAGUGUAAACCCCUUUCGACCCGGACGAAACACCCGCAAGGGUUUGACGGUACGGGUAUAAGAAGCCCCGGCUAACUACGUGCCAGCAGCCGCGGUAAGACGUAGGGGGCCAGCGUUGCUCGGAAUUACUGGGCGUAAAGGGUUCGUAGGCGGUGUGGCAAGUCGGGAGUGAAAUCUCUGGGCUUAACUCAGAGGCUGCUUCCGAAACUGCCGUGCUAGAGUGCGGGAGAGGCGAGUGGAAUUGCAGGUGUAGCGGUGAAAUGCGUAGAUAUCUGCAGGAACACCCGUGGCGAAGGCGGCUCGCUGGACCGCAACUGACGCUGAGGAACGAAAGCUAGGGGAGCAAACAGGAUUAGAUACCCUGGUAGUCCUAGCCCUAAACCAUCAGGACUUGGGGUGCAUCCCGUUCGGGGUGCGUCCCGUAGCUAACGCGUUAAGUCCUGCGCCUGGGGAGUACGGUCGCAAGGCUGAAACUCAAAAGAAUUGACGGA
rnacentral:rRNA from 1 species